rnacentral:lncRNA from 1 species
AUAAAUCUUCUUAUAAGAUAAAGUCAGAAUUAUUAAUCUAGCUUUUGAUAUAUUAUAUGUAGAUAUUAUGUCCUCGCCAAAGAGACAUGUCAGUAAUUUUAUCUAUUAAUUAUCAAUGUAAAAUAGCCUUGAUUUUUAUCAAAAAAAAAAGAAAAAUAGCCUUCAUUUGAAAAGUAUUAUUAUAUAUUUUCGUUACUACAUAAAUUCUAUCCUUAUCUAAGCAUGCAUUAUAUUAUCAUUAAUUCGUAAUAACACAUUUUAUGUUAGCAUGUUAUUAUAUCCA